CAGGCUUCAAACCGUGUGAGGCCCUGCAUGGCAGUGCCACCCAGCUGUAAGAUUUCAUCUCCAGGCUGGACUGUCUCACUUUGUUCUGAGGCUGCUCCUGAAAUGAGGGAGAAGGUAAUGGGUUCCACAGAUGAUGGGGAACAAGGAAAGUUGCCUCCUCUCCUUGAUCUCCAAAGAGCCAGGAUAGCUUGGUAGAGAACAGGGCACCAUCCCUUGGGAGCUUGCUUGUUGGUGGUUCUAAAAUGAGGCAUCUCUUAAGAUGGUGACUCAGAGGUUAGGGCACCAGGCUCCAGCUCUCCAUGGCCUUUGGAAAGGGAUAGCCCUUGCUGUCCCCAGGGGAGGGAAAUAUCAGGCAGCUCCACGCCUUAGCCUGCCUGGAGCACCGUCCAUAGUUCAUAGAGGACUCUGGGGAGCUGAGUCCUGCCCAGACCCUGCUUUGGACACUGACCCAAUAUCCUACUCCCUUCACAUUUGUUCUCCGCAUGUGGUGAGGACAUCAGCAUUGGGUGGUAUGGGAAGAGAGCUAGUGAGAUUUUUGUGCAACAAUAUUUACAGGGAUCUUGCCUCUGGCACGAAGUCCUCUGUGUCCAC
rnacentral:lncRNA from 1 species